AUUGAACGCUGGCGGCAUGCUUUACACAUGCAAGUCGAACGGUAACAGGCCGCAAGGUGCUGACGAGUGGCGAACGGGUGAGUAAUGCAUCGGAACGUGCCCAGUCGUGGGGAUAACUACUCGAAAGAGUAGCUAAUACCGCAUACGAUCUAUGGAUGAAAGCGGGGGACCGUAAGGCCUCGCGCGAUUGGAGCGGCCGAUGUCAGAUUAGGUAGUUGGUGGGGUAAAGGCUCACCAAGCCAACGAUCUGUAGCUGGUCUGAGAGGACGACCAGCCACACUGGGACUGAGACACGGCCCAGACUCCUACGGGAGGCAGCAGUGGGGAAUUUUGGACAAUGGGCGCAAGCCUGAUCCAGCAAUGCCGCGUGCAGGAAGAAGGCCUUCGGGUUGUAAACUGCUUUUGUACGGAACGAAACGGCUCUGGUUAAUACCCGGGGCUAAUGACGGUACCGUAAGAAUAAGCACCGGCUAACUACGU
rnacentral:rRNA from 1 species